rnacentral:rRNA from 1 species
GUAGGGUGGCAAGCGUUGUCCGGAAUUAUUGGGCGUAAAGCGCGCGCAGGCGGUCCUUUAAGUCUGAUGUGAAAGCCCACGGCUCAACCGUGGAGGGUCAUUGGAAACUGGGGGACUUGAGUACAGAAGAGGAAAGCGGAAUUCCAAGUGUAGCGGUGAAAUGCGUAGAGAUUUGGAGGAACACCAGUGGCGAAGGCGGCUUUCUGGUCUGUAACUGACGCUGAGGCGCGAAAGCGUGGGGAGCAAACAGGAUUAGAUACCCUGGUAGUCCACGCCGUAAACGACGAGUGCUAGUGUUAGGGGGGUUUCCGCCCCUUAGUGCUGCAGCUAACGCAUUAAGCCCUCCGCCUGGGGAGUACGGCCGCAAGGCUG